UCAGGUAGGACAGAGCCCAGAUCCGUGGCGAUCCCACCUUUGCAUUUCCAUGGAAAUCAAGGCCCACAGAAGAAGAAACACAGAUUCUGAAAGGAAGAGAGAAAAAGGCAGACUAGCUAGAGAGCUUGGGGCCUGAGGAACACACAACAUGUAGCUGUCAUGAGGUGAACAGGUUUCAUCCACUAUGUGCCAUGAUGUACUGUCUUUCCACCAACUCAGAAGCAACAGAGCCAACUGACCAUGGACUGAAACCUCUGAAACUAUGAGCCAAAAUAAACUUUUCAUCCUUUAAGUUGAUUUUCUCAGGUAUUUUGUCACGAUAAUGACAGGCUGAUGAAUACAUAAACUUAUAGCAAGACUAUCAAAGAAACAAAGAGAAGACACAAAUUACCAGUAUUAGGAAUUAAAAGGCAUAUCGUUACAAACCCUGAGUACAUCAAAGGACUAAUAAGGAGAAUUAUGAAAAGUCUCUAUACACAAA